AGCACCACAACAGGUGGAGCCUGCGGUUUAAUCGGACUCAACGCCGGGAAACUCACCAGAUAAGACAGCUGAAUGAUAGUCGGGCUGAAGACUCUACUUGACUAGCUGAGAGGAGGUGCAUGGCCGUCGUCAGUUCGUACUGUGAAGCAUCCUGUUAAGUCAGGCAACGAGCGAGACCCACGCCAACAGUUGCCAGCUCGUCCUCCGGGAUGGAGGGGACACUGUUGGGACCGCCUCUGCUAAAGAGGAGGAAGGAAUGGGCAACGGUAGGUCAGCAUGCCCCGAAUUAUCUGGGCUACACGCGGGCUACAAUGGGUGGGACAAUGGGUAUCGACACCGAAAGGUGAAGGCAAUCUCCUAAACCCAUCCUUAGUUCGGAUUGUGGGCUGCAACUCGCCCACAUGAAGCUGGAAUCCGUAGUAAUCGCGUUUCAAAAUAGCGCGGUGAAUAUGUCCCUGCUCCUU
rnacentral:rRNA from 1 species